rnacentral:lncRNA from 1 species
AUUUUCCCACGUGCUGCCCCUGAAGCCUAAGGACGGGCCUGGAUGGCUGGUAUGGGCCUCUUAUUUGGUUGGGCAGGCGCAGUAGGUACUGGCCUGCGGAACGGAGCUGAGGGUCGGGAACUCCCUUCUGGCUGAGGACGGGUGCUGAAGCUUCUUUCCACGAUCUGUGCCUUUGCUAGGACUGCUGAAUAUGUCUUGAGCUCCAGUACAAGUCUUGCCUGAUCUUUGGGCGGAGACCCGACUGGAAUCUCCGGGCCUUUCGACCCUCAUCCAUCAAUAUCUCCGGGGAGUAUCAGCCCAGCUCGAAGAACUUACGAGCAUACUCUGAUACUGUCAUGUUUCCCUAAAUCANNN